UACGAAGGGGGCUAGCGUUGCUCGGAUUGACUGGGCGUAAAGGGCGCGUAGGCGGUUUGCAUAGUCAGACGUGAAAUUCCUGGGCUUAACCUGGGGGCUGCGUUUGAUACAUGCAGGCUUAGUUCGGAAGAGGGUCGUGGAAUUCCCAGUGUAGAGGUGAAAUUCGUAGAUAUUGGGAAGAACACCAGUGGCGAAGGCGGCUCACUGGCUCAUUUCUGACGCUCAUGCACGACAGCGUGGGGAUCAAACAGG
rnacentral:rRNA from 1 species